rnacentral:rRNA from 1 species
GACAGAGGUGCCGAGCGUUAGGCGGAAUCACUGGGCUUAAAGCGUGUGUAGGCGGAUCUGUAAGUACCUUGUGAAAUCCCACGGCUCAACCGUGGAACUGCUUGGUAUACUGCGGGUCUUGAGCCACCUAGGGGCAAGUGGAACAAACGGUGGAGCGGUGAAAUGCGUAGAUAUCGUUUGGAACGCCAAUGGUGAAAACAACUUGCUGGGGGUGUGCUGACGCUGAGACACGAAAGCCAGGGGUGCAAACGGG